UUAAAGAGUAGCUCUUGUACCAGGGAAAUGAAGAUUUGAUCCUGCACUGCUCUUAAGGUCUACCCUUCUCCUUUCCUGCCAUGCUGGAACAGCUUCAAUAGCAAUGCAAUGUGCCUGAAAUCAGCCAUACCCUUUCAUCUGCCAUGACCCCAAGAUCCCUGAAAUGACCCUGUUCUAACUGCGGGCAAACACUAUGGGAAAUACUCGUAACUUCUAAGUCUAGUUCAGAUUCUCUUGGCUGCCGAAUUCCGAAACAGUCAUAAAAUGUGAUUUGCACUCCUAGACACUCAGGAAUCUCUCCGUUACCUCAGAGAAUCUGGCCACAAACAGGACUCAGAGUGGAAAUUGCCCAACCUGUCUGCUAUCACUCUCUUGAAAGAGACAGAUCCGAUCAGCAUCUCUCAACUGUGACUCAUGAGGUAUUUUUGGCUAUGUCAAGAACAUUCUCAAACAAGGUUGUACUGAAUUUUCUCUAUUGAUUCCCCUUCCUGAACACAGUCCAUGGUCCAUUCUCUGCCUUGUACGCCCUAGUAUAGGUUCCAGGAAGCUAAACCUUACAGAGAGAAACACAGGCUCUCUUGCCACCUGAUUCUCAUGUGGGUUUGGUCGAGGAAGGACCAAGAGGAACUUGGAAAUCAGAAGGAAAAAGAGUUUAAGUAUUUCCCAACAUUCUCUCUAAGGAUUUUGCCACUUCUUUGCAGAACAAAGAAUGCACACCUACCAAAGGGCUACUUUGCACUCAGCACUGAGUUUAUAUUUAAGCUGGUAGAUUUUGAAUGAAGUAGAUUACCCUUCAUAGUAUGAAUGGACCUCAUCCAAUCAGUUGAAGGCCUGAAUAGAACAAAAGACUGACCUCCCUGAGCAAGAGAGAAUUCUGUGGCAGGCUGCCUUUGGACUUCAACUGCAACAUCAGCUCUUCCCUGGGUCUCCCACUUGACAGCCUUCGAACUUGAACUGUAGCAUCGGCUCAUCCUGGGACUCCAAUCUGCCAGACCACAGCAGAUUUUGGACUUGCCAGCCUCUAUAAUCACAUGAGCCAAUUCCUUAAAAUAAAUAUCUCUCUCCAGACACACACAUUUUAUUGGUUCUGAAUAAUACACUCUUCAUAGUCUUCUUCUUGUUAUUAUUCUUCAGUGGGAAAGGAGGAUAAGAGCAAGUAUAUACUGAGUGCUUACUAUGUGCCAAACAUUAUGUUUAUUUAUUUACUUGUUUAUUUUUAGAGACACCAUUGGCUCCUCACAAUAUCUCUAUGAAAAAUGUAU
rnacentral:lncRNA from 1 species